AUUCAACUUAUAAAGAGGAAAACAAAAAGGAAGCAGCUUAGAGAAGCAGAUUCAGGAACAGGAACAACGUUCAACAUCGUCGUCUUCCUCUGCAAGUCAUGGUGCCAUCUUCAUCAAUGUUCCGUGCCUUACUUUGAAAUAAGUUGACACUUAAUUAAUUAAAAUACCGAAUGUGGUGUCUGUGUUCUUGACCAAGGAGCACAAAUUGCACACAACCCGGUCAUGGGAAUUUCUCGGACUACACAGAAAUGACAAGAACUCAGCAUGGCCAAAGGGAAGAUUUGGUGAAAAUACGAUCAUUGCUAACAUUGACCCAGGAGUUUGGCCAGAAUCACAUAUUU